AGAUUAACUAUCUUCAGUGCUUCUUACUUCAAGAGCACUCACCAAGGAGCUUCCUGAACUCUUCUCAGUAGGCCAGAUGGCCCUCAAGAGGACCGCACAUCUCAGGACCGUGAGUGACUUCUGACUCUACUAUAGAAGCUGUAGACAUUCUGGUCCCCCCAGUCAUGCUGGGGACAGUGUUCAUGUGUAGGUGUGGUCCAGACCUGAGACGCCUCUACCAAGCCACACACUGGAGCAGAAGGCGAAAUGGGUCCUAAGGAUCUCUCGGUUCCGGAGGAAAACCCUCUAGAAGAGGGAUGAAAAGGAAGGAAGUAGAAAGAAUGCUGGGCACAGAAGUGUGAGCACUUGAGUACUCCUCACAACUCUCUGAGAAUCCCUAAGGAAGUGCCAGCAUCUGGAUCCUUUAGGUGGAAAGAUAACCUGGAAUCCUGGACAGCUGUGUGCGUUUGUACAGAUGGUUGGACACCCUCCCAGCAGCUUCUCCAUCAUGUUCUCUGAUGCUCAUCGCUGGAUUUUGCAUGCUGCCUGCAGUGGGGGUGUCCGAGCUGAGCUACUGAGAGCAUAUGCACUCCACCAAUGCUUGGUCUUCCAGCCUUUGUUUUGCUUAGAGUAAUUUAAGCCCCAGCCUUUAGCUUCCGCAACUUGAGAGGUCACAACACAAACGCUUCUGGGAAAAUAUGGUUUAACUGUCCCUUCUCUUGGACUUGAAUCUCUCUCCAAAGAUGUUUCUGGGAUUUUGCUAUUAAUUUUUUAAGGCUUUCUGUGGAAAGGCCGAAGAAAGUGAGUGCCCUCGCUUUCUUAAUCUUCCUUCAAUUCUGGUAUUAAACUUCAGUGAUAAGCUCUGAAAUUCCCUAGCCUACCCUCAGGGUUUUAUUUGUGUUGUCAUUGUUUCAUUUUGGUCUUGAUCUUAGAACUUGGUCAACUGCUAAGGACUAGAUCAUUUCCUUUCUUUUAAUACUUUGUUACUUGGCAAAGAGAUAUACGGAGGCAAGAGGAGAAUUGUUCUGCUCUGUUUUAUUUCAGCCUCAGCUUUGCCCAGGUGCUUGGUGCUAUGAGGCCAGGUGUGUUGACAGGUAUCUACACAGGAUGCCAAUGAUACCCAAGGGCUGCUGACUAUUCAGUGAAAUGUUUACUUGAUUUUUCCCUUUAGUGUUAAAAUAUAUAGUUGCACUUCACUUGGGUUGUAACAUUUAAGUGCACCUCAGUGUUCGCAUGAUAAAAAAGCACAGAAAACGGUACCAAGGUUGCAUACAUGGAGCCUUGCUCUUUGUGGAGGGGUAGAUGCUCACUCCUUCAUGCAUGCAUUUUGAAAUUCUGCACAGGGAGUUCUAGGAGAUAGGAGGAGGAUUAUUUACAGUUCAUCCUUGAUAAACACUCCUGAAUUGGCAGAAUUGCUGCCCUAAGACUCAGUUGCUUAAUAUAUUGUAAAGGAUGUGUGUGUUCUGCUCCUUGACCUCAAGUCAAGCAGGAGACUCAAUGAUGGGACCAACCGGAAAGAAACUUUAGGUCUAUGACUCCUUCUGCCACUGCAAA
rnacentral:lncRNA from 1 species